GCGCAUUAAAUCGACUUCAUAUUUUAUUACUAGACUUGCCGGAAAUGAUGACUAUUGCAACAUUUUUCAGUUUUAAUCAGGAAAGGCAGCCAGUUUGCCACACUUUUCCUACGAACAAUAAACGGAAGAACGAUAAGUUCAUUGGCCUGGACGCUAAUAGAAGCUACUGGUUCACUCUCCUCUUCUUCAAUGACUUUGGCGACGGAUCCAGCCACCUGACCAUUAUCCUUGUGGUCCUUCUUCCAUUUCAUCCUCCGAUUUUGGAACCAGAUUUUGAUCUGUCGUUCUGUGAGACAUAAUGCAUGGGCAAUCUCAAUGCGCCGUCUUCGGGUCAAAUACCGGUUGAAAUGGAAUUCUUUUUCCAGCUCGAGAGUCUGGUAUCGAGAGUACGUCUGCCGGCCUCGCUUUCGGUCUGAAUCUGUGAAAAAACAAGAUAAAAGAAAUUAGCUUCCGUAUGAAGACUAUGACAGCAAUAAAACGAAUAUGAACCACACCACUUCGCAAUGUUACUGCUUUUAAACAUAUGCAUUGGUAAUUACCGCGAUAUUUUCUACGAACGUUUUAAAAUUUAUCUCUGACAAUAAAAGUACGUGAUGUCCGUUA